CCCUGCGGGGAUCUGGAGGGACAGAGGUGGAAGAGAGGGACUGCAUCACCAAGGACCCUGAAUGCCACCUUAAGCAGUUUAGACUUUUAUCUUAAAGGGUGCGAGCAGCAACCAAAGGAAUUUUAGACCAUAAAGAACAUGUCUUAAUUUCACAAGGUAAGUUAUUUCCUCAAAUACCGGCAUCCGGAGGCCUUGAAGCCAGCCCCGACCUGCUGGAGAGAGGGAUCAAGCUGGGCUGGAUCAGAACCAUGCUGUGUUGGCAGUGGCCUUGGGAAGGCUAGAAGGCGGACCUUGGUCAGGAUGACUGGGUUUGACUGGUUACCUUGGCCUGUCUGGCAGUGUCAUGUGGAACAAAUAAAUCACGGAAUACCUUCGGUCUGACCCGUUGUCGCAGAGCUAUUUCAUGUCAUUCUUAAAAUAACUUGUGAAUUUAGCACCGAGGCCACUCCCAACCUGGGGUUGCCGGCAGCAUCCGAUGGGAUAACAGGCAUGCAGGUGUGUGAUAGACCAUGGAGAGCCGCGUGCCUCCGGGGACUGACAUCCAGCAGGAGCCAAGGCCCAGAACACUGCAGAGCCGAGUGACACUGCCCCGCGUGGGCCAGAAGGCCAAGGUCUCCCUGGUGACAGCCUCCCACAUACUUGAGCUGGGUGGUAGGUGGUGUUAGUUAAGGUUCCAGAGCACAAUAUGACGCCCAAUUCUCCCCUCCCCCGUUACAGCUCCCUCAGAGUUCUGAGCUGGGACAGUGGGUGCUAAGCAGAGGAAGGUCACGUCCAUGGUGGCUCCUCGUCCUGGGGUCCCUGGGGUGGGCCAGGGGAGUGCCCUGAUAUUCCGGAUCCAGAAUUCCUGCUUGCUUGGAUUUGUGUGCAAAGAUCUGAGAAGCAAAGCAUGUGGAAAAAGAUGGAGGGUCUUCGUAAUGAACUGUUGGUUCAUUGAUUUGUCACUGUGACUGUCAGUCACCUCCUAGUCCCUCAGAUGUCUAGGUCAAGAAUCUUCACUUGUAUCAUAUUUUGUUUAUUUAUUAAUAUCCUGUUCUUGAGCCCAGAGCAAAGGGUAUGUGUGUUAUAAGGUUUAUCAGACAGAAACAGAUAAUCAGAACCCUGGAGAGGAAGAUGGAUCAGACCAGGUUUCAUGGGAAGUUAUUCUCCAUGAAUGUAUAAAAUGUCAAAAUACACUCUACUGUCAUGUAUAUCUAAAAAGAACAAAUAAAAAAAGUAAAAA